CCCAUGGAGGAUGUGUCCACCAGUUCAUUCUUUUGACACUUGGAAAGAAGUGGAACGUGGAUUCAGAUUUGGCCAGAUUACAUUCAGAGGAGAGUAAAACAUGGCCAAUAAUACUGUAAGACCAAUGGUGUGCUUUCUGAGACGGUGAAUGCCUAUAGAAUCUGUCAAUAUGACCGUAUUUUUGCGUGUGUGUUGUAAAGUGCAUAUAACAUAAAAUCGACGAUUUUAACCGUUUCAAAGUGUACAAUUCAGUGGCAUUUCGUAUAUUCACAGCAUCAUGUGACAGUUACCACUAUGCUGCUCCAGAGCGUUUUCAUUACCCGAAAAGGAAAUCUCAUACCGCCAAGCAGUCAUUCCCCAUUUUCCCCUCUCACAUUCCCUAGCAAUCAAUAAUCUGCUUUCUGGCUCUACAGACUUGCUUAUUCUAGAUAUUUCAUAUAAGUGGAAUCGUACAAUACGUGUCCUUUUGUGUCUGGCUUAUUUCACUCAGCAUAAUGUUUUCAAAGUUUACCCAUGUUGUAGCAUGCACCUUCAUUCCUUUUUAUGGCUGAAUAAUAUUCCGUGGUGUAGAUAGAGUACAUUUUGCUUAUCCAUUCAUCAGUUGAUGGACACUUGGGAUGUUUCCACUUUGGCUGUUGUGAUUAAUGCUGCUAUGAGACCAUAUGUAUAUGUUUUUUUACUUAAAUGAUUUGCUGAUUUGUGUUUGUGGGUACCCAAGACCUAGCAGGAAGUUUGGUGGGGCUGGGUUUGAAGUUGCAAACUGGGCAGAAAACUAGAGCCAGAAGCCAUGCCAGUUCAAGAGGUUCUGGGGAAGAUGGUGAAUGAUGGUAAAGGCAGUGAGAAGAAAAUCACAUUAGAGUCAAGGGCCCUUGGACUCUCAUCUUGGUUCUGCCACCAGCAGACUGUGUGGGUGAUUUGGGUAAAUCAUUUCACCUUCCUGGGCCUUCAUAUUCUCUCUUUAAAAUGAGACAGCAGAACUCACUAACAUUUCUUCUAGCUCUAGGAGUCAGUGCCUGCCACAGACUGUGCAAACACCCUGUAUUUCUUGUCACCUAACACACCCUUUUCCAGCAUCACAGCUGCUAUCACUCACACUGUAAACAGUAUAGGUACUCUUUUUCUAUAUUUUCUGUGCUCAAGGUUUGGGCUUAACCAUUUCCUCUGAACUGGAAGUAUGAAGAGGGUCAGGGCCUGGCAUCAUUGAAAUGUGGCAGUCGCAGCAGGGCCCAAAAUAACAC
rnacentral:lncRNA from 10 species